rnacentral:rRNA from 1 species
AACGAACGCUGGCGGCAUGCCUAACACAUGCAAGUCGAACGAGAGCUUCGAGUCUAGUGGCGCACGGAUGGGUAACGGGUGGGAAUCUGCCUAGGAGUUCGGGAUGACAGGUGGAAACGACUGCUAAUACCGGAGGAUGAAUUCCGUCCAAAGAUUUAGCGCACAGGGAUGAGCCUGCGUCGUCUUACCUAGUUGGUGACGUAAGACGUCACCAAGGCGACGUUCCGUAGCUGGUCUGAGAGGAUGAUCAGCCACACUGGCACUGAGAAACGGCCCAGACUCCUACGGGAGGGACCAAUGGGGAAUAUUGGAAAGUGGGCGAAAGCCUGAUCCAGCAAUGCCGCGUGAGUGAUGAAGGCCUUAGGGUUGUACAGCUCUUUUACCCGGUAUGAUAAUGACAUUACCGGGAGAAUAAGCCCCGGCUAACUCCGUG